rnacentral:rRNA from 1 species
UACGUAGGGUGCGAGCGUUGUUCGGAAUUAUUGGGCGUAAAGAGCUUGUAGGCGGUUUGUCGCGUCUGCUGUGAAAAUCCGGGGCUCAACCCCGGACUUGCAGUGGGUACGGGCAGACUAGAGUGUGGUAGGGGAGACUGGAAUUCCUGGUGUAGCGGUGAAAUGCGCAGAUAUCAGGAGGAACACCGAUGGCGAAGGCAGGUCUCUGGGCCACUACUGACGCUGAGAAGCGAAAGCAUGGGGAGCGAACAGG